rnacentral:lncRNA from 1 species
GCUGCGUCUAUUAAUUUACUAAUUACUGAUUUCAUUGUUCCGCAGGUAUUUCUUUUUGGUAAUGAAGGGGCACUUGGACUGCCUGUUGGAACUACAUCAGCUAAGGUGCGAUCGUGGAGUGCGUUCAGCCCUCGGAAGAGUGUCUCGGUGGUCCGGGGCCCGCGAGGUGCCCAGCCGAAUCCCAUUCGCGCCGCGCGUCGCCGCUCGCGAUAUCGGUGACGCAGUUCCACAACCGCGAUUACCAGCGCAAAAAUGCACCGCGGCUCGCAUCGUCUACCGCCCGAGUCCCACGAGUAGCCUGCACCACAAAUUCAACGACGAAUCCACCGUUUACGACCGAUUUCAACGGCGAAUCCACCGUUUAUGACCGCUAAAUGGAAAAUCUCGUAGGCGAUCCCGAAUCUCUCCGCAGCGUCCCCGACAGGCCGCGAACUCUCCUCAACUUCCACGAAAGCUUAGUCUGCACAUAAUUUAAUUUAAUUUAUCUUAAUUUAUUUUAAUUUAUUUCGAUUAGUUCUUAAAUGAGUUUGACGCGUUUCUGAUGGGCGUGACGAGGUUUUUCCACCGGGUGAAUUUCGCUGUUUAGUCCCCCUCGUCCCUCUCGUCUGAGAUGAGAAUCGGCAAGACCCCGAGGAAGAGAAAGGUUUCGAUCAUUCCGGCCGCUCCGCUUUCGAAUCGAUAUCCGAGUUCGAGGAUGCGAUAGUCGGAGUUAGUGACGUCAUUUUGAACUAGUUCUUGGGUCCAUCGGUGACGCGAACGCUCGCGAACAUGUUGAACUGCACCGACAUCGACUGCAUCCUCCACCAUCACCACGAGCACCGGGAGCUUCAGCACCAUCUCCAGGAUAAUCGGCAGCAUCACGAACAUCAUGGAGGUAAGAUACUUCCUAGUUUUUCGCAUGUUUCGUUUUGGAAUAUCCGGAGUAAUAUCAAUGGCCAAAGUGCGAAACCACACGGAGAAAAAAAUAUCGGUGUAUUUACUAAGAAAAGGGUAAAAUUACCAAGAAUUCAGGGUUCUAUUUGAUCUCAGUUUCUUCUUGGUAAAAUUACCAUUUAUGGAAUUGGU